rnacentral:rRNA from 1 species
AGUUUGAUCCUGGCUCAGAUUGAACGCUGGCGGAAUGCUUUACACAUGCAAGUCGAACGGCAGCAUAGAGAGCUUGCUCUCUGAUGGCGAGUGGCGAACGGGUGAGUAAUAUAUCGGAACGUGCCUAGUAAUGGGGAAUAACUAGCUGAAAGGUUAGCUAAUGCCGCAUACGACCUACGGGUGAAAGCAGGGGAUCUUCGGACCUUGCGUUAUUAGAGCGGCCGAUAUCUGAUUAGCUUGUUGGUGGGGUAAUGGCCUACCAAGGCGACGAUCAGUAGCUGGUCUGAGAGGACGAUCAGCCACACUGGAACUGAGACACGGUCCAGACUCCUACGGGAGGCAGCAGUGGGGAAUUUUGGACAAUGGGGACAACCCUGAUCCAGCCAUUCCGCGUGAGUGAAGAAGGCCUUCGGGUUGUAAAGCUCUUUCGCAAGAGAAGAAAGCUUGCUAUCUAAUAAAUAGUAAGCAUGACGGUAUCUUGACAAGAAGCACCGGCUAACUACGUGCCAGCAGCCGCGGUAAUACGUAGGGUGCAAGCGUUAAUCGGAAUUACUGGGCGUAAAGCGUGCGCAGGCAGUUUUAUAAGUCAGAUGUGAAAUCCCCGAGCUCAACUUGGGAACUGCGUUUGAAACUGUAAGACUAGAGUGUGUCAGAGGGGGGUAGAAUUCCAAGUGUAGCAGUGAAAUGCGUAGAGAUUUGGAGGAAUACCAAUGGCGAAAGCAGCCCCCUGGGAUUACACUGACGCUCAUGCACGA